AGAGUUUAUCCUGGCUCAGAAUCAACGCUGGCGGCGUGCCUAACACAUGCAAGUCGAACGAGAAAGUGGAGCAAUCCAUGAGUAAAGUGGCGACCGGGUGAGUAACACAUGAGCAACCUGCCCCGAAGACCGGGACAACACCGGGAAACCGGUGCUAAUACCGGAUAUCCCUAUCGGACCGCAUGAUCUGAUAAGGAAAUGGAUUCCGCUUCGGGAGGGGCUCGUGGCCUAUCAGCUAGUUGGUGAGGUAAUAGCUCACCAAGGCAUCGACGGGUAGCUGGUCUGAGAGGACGAUCAGCCACACUGGGACUGAGACACGGCCCAGACUCCUACGGGAGGCAGCAGUGGGGAAUCUUGCGCAAUGGGCGAAAGCCUGACGCAGCAACGCCGCGUGGAGGACGAAUGCUUUCUGAGUUGUAAACUCCUUUCAGCAGGGACGAUUGUGACGGUACCUGCAGAAGAAGCACCGGCCAACUACGUGCCAGCAGCCGCGGUGAUACGUAGGGUGCAAGCGUUAUCCGGAUUUAUUGGGCGUAAAGAGCUCGUAGGCGGUUUGAUUAGUCGGGUGUGAAACCUCCAGGCUCAACCUGGAGCCGCCACUCGAUACUGUCAUGACUAGAAUUCGGUAGGGGACCACGGAAUUCCUGGUGUAGCGGUGAAAUGCGCAGAUAUCAGGAGGAACACCAGCAGCGAAGGCGGUGGUCUGGGCCGACAUUGACGCUGAGGAGCGAAAGCGUGGGGAGCGAACAGGAUUAGAUACCCUGGUAGUCCACGCCGUAAACGUUGGGCACUAGGUGUGGGGACUAUUCAACGGUUUCCGUGCCGCAGCUAACGCAUUAAGUGCCCCGCCUGGGGAGUACGGCCGCAAGGCUAAAACUCAAAGGAAUUGACGG
rnacentral:rRNA from 1 species